rnacentral:rRNA from 1 species
UUUAAUGAGAGUUUGAUCCUGGCUCAGGACGAACGCUGGCGGCGUGCCUAAUACAUGCAAGUAGAACGCUGAGGUUUGGUGUUUACACUAGACUGAUGAGUUGCGAACGGGUGAGUAACGCGUAGGUAACCUGCCUCAUAGCGGGGGAUAACUAUUGGAAACGAUAGCUAAUACCGCAUAAGAGUAAUUAACACAUGUUGUUAUUUAAAAGGAGCAAUUGCUUCACUGUGAGAUGGACCUGCGUUGUAUUAGCUAGUU